CCUACGGGUGACAGCAGUGAGGAAUAUUGGUCAAUGGGCGGAAGCCUGAACCAGCCAAGUAGCGUGCAGGAUGACGGCCCUACGGGUUGUAAACUGCUUUUAUACGGGAGUAAAGCGCCUUACGCGUAGGGCUUUGCAUGUACCGGAUGACUAAGCACCGGCUAAUUCCGUGCCAGCAGCCGCGGUAAUACGGAAGGUGCGAGGGUUAUCCGGAUUUAUUGGGUUUAAAGGGUGCGGAGGCGGGAUGUCAAGCGGGAUGGGAAAUGUGAGGGCUCAAACCGGGCCGUGCAGUGGGAAAUGGGGUGCUUGAGUGAGCGGGAAGAAGGCGGAAUUCGUCGUGUAGCGGUGAAAUGCUUAGAUAUGACGAAGAACCCCGAUUGCGAAGGCAGCUUGCUGGAGCGGAACUGACGCUGAUGCUCGAAAGCGUGGGUAUCGAACAGGAUUAGAUACCCUUGUAGUC
rnacentral:rRNA from 1 species